GGUUAGUGUGAUAGGGCUAGGAUGGGUUAUGGUUAGGGUGGUAGUGUGGUGGUAGGGUUAGUGUGGUAGGGUAGGAUGGGUUAUGGUUAGGGUGGUAACUUGUUGGUUGAGGAUACUCUACCUACACUGGGUUUCUUACAGGAGUCCCAUCUGUGAUUAAAGGAUUAGGAAAGGAUUAGGAAAGGAUUAGGAGAGGAUUAGUGGUGCAGAGAAAGCCUGCUAGGGCUAGCGAGAGAAACUCAAAGGGCGACUAUAAACAAAUGACAGAUUGUUCGGAU